rnacentral:rRNA from 1 species
UACAGGGGGGGCAAGCGUUGUUCGGAAUUACUGGGCAUAAAGGGCUCGUAGGCGGCCAACUAAGUCCGACGUGAAAUCCCAAAGCUUAACUUUGGAACUGCGUCGGAUACUGGAUGGCUUGAAUUCGGGAGAGGGAAGCGGAAUUCCGGGUGUAGCGGUGAAAUGCGCAGAUAUCCGGAGGAACACCGGUGGCGAAGGCGGCUUCCUGGACCGACACUGACGCUGAGGCGCGAAAGCUAGGGGAGCAAACGGG